GCUCCCAGAGUGCUGGGAUUGCCGGCGGCGUGUGUCACCGCCACAACCAGCCUCGAGUGGUUUUGAAGGCUGCCGCACCACGCGCUAUCCUGGCUGUAACAGCAAGGAGGAAGAGGGCACUUCAUCCUACGUUCAAGCAGAUACUGGCGCCAGGGUUCUGGGUGAAUGCAGAUGGGCCCCUCCUCUGCCCCUCAAGAAUGGCUCUCUGUCCUGGGGAGUCACUGGCUGGGGCUGGGGAUGAACCCAGGAGAUGCCAGGGGCUUGUCUCUGGGGUGACCGGGAGGCCGAGAACUUCCUCUGGUUCUGACAGAGCUUUCCAGAAUCCGACAGCUCCUUGAGUGUCCUGCACAGGUUGCUUUAGGCAAAUCAGUGUAGGAAGAGAUAUCUUCCCUACAAAGGUAAAUCACGGAGUGAUAGUUGACUUACAAAAUUAUUCAUGAAUGACCCUGAGGUGGAGAAUUUGAAAUCUGCUUUUCAAUCCUCUGACCAUUUUCUCUUUCUACUUCUGAUUGCAGCCGCUGGGGCAAGGCGCAUGGCAGGGGCUGGAAAGGCAGCACCAUUUUCUGCAGCUUUGGCUGCAACCAGCCCCAAGGCCUGGUAGG
rnacentral:lncRNA from 1 species